GAAUUACCAAAUUACCCUCAUCU
rnacentral:snRNA from 1 species